rnacentral:rRNA from 1 species
CCUACGGGUGGCAGCAGUGAGGAAUAUUGGUCAAUGGGCUUACGCCUGAACCAGCCAAGUCGCGUGAGGGAAGACUGCCCUAUGGGUUGUAAACCUCUUUUGUCAGGGAGCAAGUGGCGCUACGUGUAGCGUUAUCGAGAGUACCUGCAGAAAAAGCAUCGGCUAACUCCGUCCCAGCAGCCGCGGUAAUACGGAGGAUGCGAGCGUUAUCCGGAUUUAUUGGGGUUAAAGGGUGCGUUGGCGGAAUGCCAAGUCAGCGGUAAAAUCGCGGGGCUCAACCUCGCUCCGCCGUUGAAACUGGCGGUCUUGAGUGGGCGAGAAGUAAGCGGAAUGCGGGGUGUAGCGGUGAAAUGCAUAGAUAUCAGGAAGAACUCCGAUUGCGAAGGCAGCAUACCGGCGCCCAACUGACGCUGAAGCACGAAAGCGUGGGUAUCGAACAGGAUUAGAUACCCUGGUAGUC